rnacentral:lncRNA from 1 species
GCACGUUCUAGGGAGUGAUUUUCAGGAAGAUUCUCCCUUCUUUCUGUUUACAUGAUAAGCAUGAUGCAAGCAAGUGGCAGUCUCUGGCUCUCUGGAUGUGAAUCUGCCUUGAGUUGCCAUGUUCCUUGACUUUGUGCAGGGGAUGUAGCUGGAUGUCCAGUUCCUGCUAACUCAUUAUUAAGGCUGGGUCUCAAUCCAGUCCCUGGACUAGCUUCCCAGGGUUGCUCCCAGCUCCCUCACCAAUCCAGUGGAACUAGUACACCAAAACCUCAAUCCCAGCUUUUCCCUCUCUGGCCUCACCCCCACGUAGGCACUUAUCUCCUUCAGCAGCUGGAAGAACCCCCAGAUGUGAGAGCAAAUAAGUCUGCAGGACCAUUCUGGCCUCUAACUGGAGAUCAGCAUCCCAGAUUCAGAAAGACUUGGGCCCCAGAUAUAGCAAAGGCUCUGAGAAGCCUACUUCUUCCCCUUUUUUUCCCUCCUCUUGUCUUAUUCUAUUUUUUAGAGUUCCCAGACACUGAGAUACAUAUUUUUUUAUCAAUGACAAUGACAAUUUCAACAUAACCCAGUGGUUGAGAAGACAGGCUUUAAAUUUGAAUAGAACUAGAUUUGAAUUUCGUACCACAAUUUACCAGCUGUGUGACCUUUAACUAGUUACUUUAUCUUCUCAUCCAAAAAUGAAUAUGGUAGUAUUUAUAGGACACAUUUUUUUUUUCAAAAUUUGGUUGCAAGUAAAGAAAUCAGACUCAGUGGCUUAAACAAAAAGGAAUAGUUUCUUUCACUUAACAAGAGCUCUGAAAGUGGUGACUAAUUAUAUUGUUUGAGUACUUCAAUAUUUCCCUGAUUCUUUUGGUCUUUAUGUCAUCCUUACUGCCUCAUGCUUGCAAAAAGGCUGCUGUGGAUCCAGAUACCAUAUUUAUAUAUAAGCCCAUUUUGUACUCCUUUUUUCUGCACUGGAGAAGCAGCUACUGGAAGCAGGGUUAGAACAAGCUUGACCACAGGAUUGCAAAGAAUCACUGAAGUGGUGUUUGCUUUAAUCCCAAGUGCUGGCCACCUCAUCUCAACUCUCUCUAGAGGAAGAGACCCUGUAAGUCCCAAGGACACAUCCGGAAGAGUAUUGUGGAGAGUGAGGUAUUGGAAGACAAGUGUCACAAAAAUAGCGGCAUAGGGAGCUCCAAGUAUCUAUCCUUCCACUGAAGAAAACGUUAAGCUGGCAAAAACAUUCAGAAUCAGGAAUGUAAUAAAAAGAAGACUCGCAACA